rnacentral:siRNA from 1 species
CUGUCCAUCCUCUUUAUCGUCCUC